GCAGGAUGAACGAGCGCGAUCGUCUGAUCAAGAGACUCGGCAGGAAGACACCCCCCACCCUCUUCCGAACAGGCUCCAUCCAGCAGUGUGUCAGCCAUGGGUAUGCCUUUUCUCAAGAAGAACAUGGGUGUGUUACACAGGAGGAAGUAGUCCGUUGUUAUGACACCACCAAAGAGAAGUCAAGGAAGAAGUAAGAGUCAGAGUUUCCUGAUGGCUCCAAGGAAAGAGAUUCGGUUUGUUGCACGCAAUGUUAACGGUUUUGUCAGGAAAGACUGGCGCCAGCAGCUGGACACCAGAAAACACAUUUCUGUGGCCUUAGCCGACCAGUUUGUUAGCAGCUCUCUGUCCCUGUGCGGUCCCAGGGCAUAGGCGUCAAGGGAAGCCAUUCUCCCAGCUUGUCUGCAGCGCUUGGCCCAACAUCUGUUUACCUUGUUAUGAAGCAUUCAGCUGGGCUUUGUGAGGUGUGAAAUUAAAAACUAUGCUUCACCAAUGCUUAAA
rnacentral:lncRNA from 1 species